rnacentral:rRNA from 1 species
CAAGCGUUGUUCGGAAUUACUGGGCGUAAAGGGCUCGUAGGCGGCCAACUAAGUCAGACGUGAAAUCCCUCGGCUUAACCGGGGAACUGCGUCUGAUACUGGAUGGCUUGAGUUUGGGAGAGGGAUGCGGAAUUCCAGGUGUAGCGGUGAAAUGCGUAGAUAUCUGGAGGAACACCGGUGGCGAAGGCGGCAUCCUGGACCAACACUGACGCUGAGUGAGCGAAAGCCAGGGGAGCAAACGGG